AAACUGCAGUCGAGCGGACAGAUGGGAGCUUGCUCCCUGAUGUUAGCGGCGGACGGGUGAGUAACACGUGGGUAACCUGCCUGUAAGACUGGGAUAACUCCGGGAAACCGGGGCUAAUACCGGAUGCUUGAUUGAACCGCAUGGUUCAAUUAUAAAAGGUGGCUUUUAGCUACCACUUACAGAUGGACCCGCGGCGCAUUAGCUAGUUGGUGAGGUAACGGCUCACCAAGGCAACGAUGCGUAGCCGACCUGAGAGGGUGAUCGGCCACACUGGGACUGAGACACGGCCCAGACUCCUACGGGAGGCAGCAGU
rnacentral:rRNA from 2 species